CGAACACUGCAUCAAAUGAUGUACCAAAUGCAAAGAAAAUUGUACCAUAAAUGUGCGACAAACAAGGGGUAUUUUGGUACUUUUAACUUCAAUGGCAGGGCUUUCAAAUUUACCAAGCAAUUGACAAACACGUGUUCCCUCAUCUUUCUCUUUCCCUCUUUCCAUCUAUUUUUGUGCGUCUCCUCUGUCUUUUCAUGGAGAAUAACAAAAAUUUGCAGAAAAUCUCAAAUCAAUAAAACCUAAAUUCAAAGGUGACAAAGUUGUGAUGAAAGCAGGCAGCAGCCCUUUUUGACGAAUGAGAGUGCUAUUUAUUUAACCGUUCAAAAUUACAAUUUUUUUACACUUAUGGAGGGUUCAACUUGAAGGAGAAGAAGAAAAUCGGAAGUGAAGGUAGAGCAAAUUGAUGGGAAAUUAGAGAAGAGUGAUUCCAGUUCCGAGCUAGUGGAUCAAUCUAGUGAUGAAAUUUCACAUUUAGCUAUCGAUAUUGGAGCAGCACAAUCAACUCUUUUGUCAAGGAAAAGAAGGUGGUCCAAAUGCCACUGAAUUGAGCAGUAUACGCAAACAUCAACCUAUAAGACAAGGCAACCUAAUAACAAACAGAAUUGAGUAUUAGUAUGUGUAUGUGUGACAUGUACGAGUGACGUAUUCUACUACAAAAAGCAAAGGAAAACAAGAAAGUGCAAGCCAAAGGAAAAGGAAAUGGAGGAGAGAAGAAGAAGUUAUUUUAGAUGGAUAUGUACUGCUUCGUUAGUUCGUUUCGAUUUCUCAUUGUGUCUUACUCUUAGCGCAAUAUAGAUGCUUAUGAGGUCUCAGGUUCAAUUCCCAGUAGAGACAAAAAUACUAGGUGAUUUCUUCCCAUCUGUUCUAGCCUUGGGAAUGCUCUUAUAUGAGAACUAUAGUUUCAUAUGCAUGGCAAAACAAUUCUAACACAAUAGGUCGCCUAAUUAGGCUCUUCAUCACAUCAAAUUCUUAGAAAUUUACAGCAUUUAUAAUUAAGCAUGUAUAUUUUUUUAAUGACCAUGAUGUCCGUGCGCAUACCUUGACUAAUUCCACGGGAUACCUGUCACCUCCUACCACCAUAUAAUGACUGCUCUUCGAAAGGUCAGUCAAAGGUAAGAUCUCAAAGCUCAUUAUUUAAGUAGGAUGUUCACCUUGAAAACCAUGCUCUGCCACACAGUCUAAAGUUUGCUUUUAACUACAACCUGAUGCCUCUAGAGAUAAAUGUCGCCGCCACAGAGGUACUCACUUUACCCAAAAAUAUAAUGCUCUUUACUCACCCAUUUUUUAUGACUGCAUGUCACUAAUCAGGCAGCUGGGUGAUCCACCACUACAUCAUAUCCCUGGGUUGGUCUUUCUAAUCAAUCAGAACAUGAACCGGUGUGAAGAUCUUGAAUGCAAGGGUGAGUUAGCCUUCAUGGAAAAGAGCCUCUUCGUUGCAAGCGGAACCCAUGACCACUUUUUGAGAAUCACCGGAAGACAUUUUGGAUAUUUUAACAAAUAACCAACAAGAGGCAACAACUCUCUCUAUGGUCUCUAGCGCUCCACGGCAGUAACAACAACACGCUUCCCGACAGCAGAUGUUGCCACUUUGUUUAGCCACUUUAGUAAAAGAUAAGCAUCUUUUGUAUGAUCAACAAUUUUGAAAUGACGAUUCUCCAUCGUCAGUAGCUUUAAAUACUUGUACUACUAUGAUGUCUCACUCCCACCGUGCUCCCUAUAGACUUUUUAUUAAGUAAUAAAAUUUCUUCUCAUGAA